AAAAAAACAAACCCUGAUUUCGUGUCCAAAGUUUGACCGUCUGUAUAUUUGAAAAAAUUAUAAAAAAAUUAAAAAUAUAAGUCACGCAUAAAGUAUUAAUCAUGUUUUAUCAUUUAACAACAAUGAAAAUACUAAUUAUAAAAAAAAUUCAUAUAAGACGGACAGUCAAACGUUGGCACGAGAACCCAUGGUCUGUCUUUUU
rfam:Oryza rufipogon genomic scaffold, chr07